rnacentral:rRNA from 1 species
GAUGAACGCUGGCGGCGUGCCUAAUACAUGCAAGUCGAGCGAACGGACGAGAAGCUUGCUUCUCUGAUGUUAGCGGCGGACGGGUGAGUAACACGUGGAUAACCUACCUAUAAGACUGGGAUAACUUCGGGAAACCGGAGCUAAUACCGGAUAAUAUUUUGAACCGCAUGGUUCAAAAGUGAAAGACGGUCUUGCUGUCACUUAUAGAUGGAUCCGCGCUGCAUUAGCUAGUUGGUAAGGUAACGGCUUACCAAGGCAACGAUGCAUGGCCGACCUGAGAGGGUGAUUGGCCACACUGGAACUGAGACGCGGUCCAGACUCCUACGGGAGGCAGCAGUAGGGAAUCUUCCGCAAUGGGCGAAAGCCUGACGGAGCAACGCCGCGUGAGUGAUGAAGGUCUUCGGAUCGUAAAACUCUGUUAUUAGGGAAGAACAUAUGUGUAAGUAACUGUGCACAUCUUGACGGUACCUAAUCAGAAAGCCACGGCUAACUACGUG